ACUUCAUGGGUUGGCUUGUGCAGUCAGCUGUGGGACCUUACAUAGACAGGUGUGUGCCUUUCCAAAUCGAGUCCAAUCAAUUGAAUUUACGACAAGUGGACUCCAGUCAAGUUGUAAAAACAUCUCAAGGAUGAUCAGUGGAAACACGACGCACCUGAGCUCAGUUUUGAAUGUCAUAGCAAAGGGAGUGAAUACUUAUGUACGAGUGAUACUUAAGUUUUUUAUUUUUAAUACAUUUGCAAAAAUUCCUAAAAAAACUUUUUUCACUUUGUCAUAUUGGGAUACUGUACGUAGAUUGAUGAGAAAAAAAAAAAAAAGAUUUAAUCCGUUUUGGAAUAAGGCUGUAACAUAACAAAAUGUGGAAAAAGUAAAGGGGACUGAAUACUUUCUGGAUGCACU